UUUCGCUUUACUCUUUAUAUUAUCAAAAAUCCUUGCUGCUCAUUUUCCCUUCAUCACUUUUCUUCUUCCAUUUCCAAAUCUUCGACCCGAAGAAGAGAAAUUCAUGGCUCGAUUUGUGAUUCUCUUUGCUCUCUUUGUUCUUCCUUCACUCGCCGCCGCAAGCCGCCCCGUCAGAACUCCGUUCAUUGUUCGUGGUAAAGUCUUCUGCGACACUUGCCUUGCCGGCUUUGAAACCUCCGCCACUACCUACAUUCCCGGUGCUAAGGUCAAAAUUGAAUGCAAGGACAGGAACUCAAUGGAACUUCUAUAUUCUCACGAGGCCACAACAGACUCCACUGGUUCUUAUACGCUCUUAAUCAACGAGGACCAUGGGGAUGAACUUUGUGAUGCUGUACUAAUCAGCAGCCCUGAGAAGAGCUGUUCAUCAGUAUCCGAAGGCCGUGACCGUGCCCGUGUGAUCCUCACCCGCUACAAUGGUAUUGCCUCAAACGAACGCUAUGUCAAUGCCAUGGGUUUUGCAAGAGAUGAACCUAUGUCUGGCUGCAACCAAGUCCUGAGUCAGUACCAGGAUAUUGAAGAUUAGAACUGGCUUUAGUCCUACAAUCACUUAGUUGUAUUUCUGGAGGUAUAUUUGCUCUGUUCUGCUUAUGCUAAUGUGCCCCCAUAUCUACGCUUUAUCUGGCUGGACACUGAAACCGUAUUUGUUAUAUUGCAUUCUUAAAGAUGAUUAAAUAUGUCUUGUUCAUUCACUUUAUUAGUAUCAUGACCAGGAUGAUGCUAUGGUUUAUUUUUAUGAGUACAAAAUAGUGAAAAUAGCUUUAGUUCUUG
rnacentral:misc_RNA from 1 species